rnacentral:rRNA from 1 species
UAGGGAAUCUUCCGCAAUGGACGCAAGUCUGACGGAGCAACGCCGCGUGAGUGAAGAAGGAUUUCGGUUCGUAAAACUCUGUUGUUAGAGAAGAACAGCGCAUAGAGUAACUGUUAUGCGUGUGACGGUAUCUAACCAGAAAGCCACGGCUAACUACGUGCCAGCAGCCGCGGUAAUACGUAGGUGGCAAGCGUUGUCCGGAUUUAUUGGGCGUAAAGCGAGCGCAGGCGGUCAAUUAAGUCUGAUGUGAAAGCCCCCGGCUCAACCGGGGAGGGUCAUUGGAAACUGGUUGACUUGAGUGCAGAAGAGGAGAGUGGAAUUCCAUGUGUAGCGGUGAAAUGCGUAGAUAUAUGGAGGAACACCAGUGGUGAAGGCGACUCUCUGGUCUGUAACUGACGCUGAGGCUCGAAAGCGUGGGUAGCAAACAGG